CAGUCGCCGCGGUAAUACGAACCGUGCGAACGUUAUUCGGAAUCACUGGGCUUAAAGCGCGUGUAGGCGGGAUGGUACGUCGGCCGUUGAAAUCCCCCGGCUCAACCGGGGAAGUGGCGCCGAUACGGCCACCCUUGAGGAACGUAGGGGGACCUGGAACUUCCGGUGGAGCGGUGAAAUGCGUUGAGAUCGGAAGGAACGCCCGUGGCGAAAGCGAGGUCCUGGACGUUUACUGACGCUGAGACGCGAGAGCCAGGGGAGCAAACGGGAUUAGAUACCCGAGUAGUCCCUGUCUCUUAUA
rnacentral:rRNA from 1 species